UGCUUGCACGGGUUUCCAGUCAUUUUUAUCUCCAAUUUUCAUGCUCUGUACUAAGUUGAUAAUAGACGUAAGAAAUAUUAGAGCUUCUUCAUAUUUAUCACAAUUCAAUCUGCUUAGUGCAACUGCAGGGUACCUGCUUGUCAUGAAAUCAAACCACCGGUUAAACACAUCCAGAAACCAAGCAGUAGAAAGAUAUUCAUUUCCUCGGCCUUCUUCUUUCACAAGGUGUAAUGGACACAAAACUACAGUUCAAGUUGUUUGCUUUAACAACAUCAUCAGGUAGAGUGAUGACUUUGCCACUAACCAAAGCUGCCUUAAGAUUCUUUAUUAGGUGAGGAACAUCAGCGAGAAAAUAUAACCAUUUGGUUGGACUUUGAGGAUGUACUACUUUGCUAACAGUAUUGCAGUGUCUUCCAGUCAUGAGGCCAAAGCUUCUCCACAGUGCUCGGUUUGCAGAUCCCAUGUCACUAGUCACAGCUAUGACAUGUAAGCCUAUCUUUGCAGCACAUUCAAUAAUUCCAGCACAAUUGGUUUCAUUACAGUUCCGUCAGUGGAGUUUCCUGUGAAAUGGUAUGCUACUGUCUGUUUUCACCGUGAUGACAGUCCUCCCAACAUAAACACAAGAGCAUGAGUGGCACUACCACAAUGACCAGGCAAAGUCACAUUCCCAAGCAAUUGUCCACUACUUGCAUCAUACUCAAUACUAGGUGUAAUGGACAUUUCAUCUAAUGUGAGACAGCAGACUCUUUCCUCUUCACACAAAUUAUUUACCUUCACUGCUAAGUAUUCAAAAACUUGGCUGAAUGACCACCGAAUUCCUCGCAUUCCUCGGGACAAUGCUAGCAGCUGAUCUUCAGCAAACAGUUUUUUAAUCUUUGAUUCCUGACUUGCCAUUUGCUUAGCAAGUGCAUUAUUUCUUCUUGUAAUUUUGUGCAGUUUGGCUCUUGAAACUUGUAAUUUGGCUUUCAA